rnacentral:rRNA from 1 species
AAUAUUGUACAAUGGGGGAAACCCUGAUGCAGCGACGCCGCGUGAGUGAAGAAGUAUUUCGGUAUGUAAAGCUCUAUCAGCAGGGAAGAAAAAGACGGGCCCUGACUAAGAAGCCCCGGCUAACUACGUGCCAGCAGCCGCGGUAAUACGUAGGGGGCAAGCGUUAUCCGGAUUUACUGGGUGUAAAGGGAGCGUAGGUGGCGAGUCAAGUCAGAUGUGAAAGCCCGGGGCUCAACCCCGGGAUUGCAUUUGAAACUGGUUUGCUAGAGUGCAGGAGAGGUAAGUGGAAUUCCUAGUGUAGCGGUGAAAUGCGUAGAUAUUAGGAGGAACACCAGUGGCGAAGGCGGCUUACUGGACCGUAACUGACACUGAGGCUCGAAAGCGUGGGGAGCAAACA